rnacentral:rRNA from 1 species
AGAGUUUGAUCCUGGCUCAGGACGAACGCUGGCGGCGCGCCUAACACAUGCAAGUCGAACGAGCGAGAGAGAGCUUGCUUUCUCAAGCGAGUGGCGAACGGGUGAGUAACGCGUGAGGAACCUGCCUCAAAGAGGGGGACAACAGUUGGAAACGACUGCUAAUACCGCAUAAGCCCACGGCUCGGCAUCGAGCAGAGGGAAAAGGAGCAAUCCGCUUUGAGAUGGCCUCGCGUCCGAUUAGCUAGUUGGUGAGGUAAUGGCCCACCAAGGCGACGAUCGGUAGCCGGACUGAGAGGUUGAACGGCCACAUUGGGACUGAGACACGGCCCAGACUCCUACGGGAGGCAGCAGUGGGGAAUAUUGCACAAUGGGGGAAACCCUGAUGCAGCGACGCCGCGUGGAGGAAGAAGGUCUUCGGAUUGUAAACUCCUGUUGUUGAGGAAGAUAAUGACGGUACUCAACAAGGAAGUGACGGCUAACUACGUGCCAGCAGCCGCGGUAAAACGUAGGUCACAAGCGUUGUCCGGAAUUACUGGGUGUAAAGGGAGCGCAGGCGGGAAGACAAGUUGGAAGUGAAAUCCAUGGGCUCAACCCAUGAACUGCUUUCAAAACUGUUUUUCUUGAGUAGUGCAGAGGUAGGCGGAAUUCCCGGUGUAGCGGUGGAAUGCGUAGAUAUCGGGAGGAACACCAGUGGCGAAGGCGGCCUACUGGGCACCAACUGACGCUGAGGCUCGAAAGUGUGGGUAGCAAACAGGAUUAGAUACCCUGGUAGUCCACACCGUAAACGAUGAUUACUAGGUGUUGGAGGAUUGACCCCUUCAGUGCCGCAGUUAACACAAUAAGUAAUCCACCUGGGGAGUACGACCGCAAGGUUGAAACUCAAAGGAAUUGACGGGGGCCCGCACAAGCAGUGGAGUAU